CCCAACGAGGCAGAUGUCGAUGCCGGCAGCGUCGAGCUGGACGGCGGCGGGGUAGUCGUAGGCGGUGACCAUGGUGAUGGAUUCGCCGUGCUUGUGUUUAUUGUGGAGGAAAAGAGCUUUGAAUCCUGACAAACAUGUUUGAAACCAGAUAAACCGGGAGAGGGACUGGAGGUGCUACAUGCUCACCGAAUCAUUCAUCGCGAUCUCAAACCUGAGGAUGAUGAGGAAGAAGGUGAAGAAGGAGAAGAAGAGGGCUUGAGUAAAUGUAUAGGGAAGGAGUUGAAGAAGUGUCUGCAGUGUCAUAGUCAUUGUAAAUAAUUUAUGUAAAAACUUGUAAAUAAUUUAUGUAUCUCUCUACUAUUUUGGUGAAUGUAUUAUUUGAA